UGUAAUAUAAUUGACCAAUUGGUAUUCAAAUUGGCUAGAAUUUAAAGUAAUUGUCUAAAUUGUAAUCCAAAAUCCUCAGCCCAAUUAAAACCUAAUGACCCAGCAACCCAUUUCUUCUUACCAGCCCAACAACAACAAUUACCUACCCAUCAGCCAUUUAAAAAAGGCCCAAUCCACACCAAACCGACCGGGUCAGCCCACCAUUGUCCCCUUUUCUCCUUCAAUGUCCGUACAAACAAGAACCUUCAGUGAACAUCAAACAAUAAAAGCUCCCAAAUCGACCUUCAGCAAGCAACCAGCCCAAAUCCGACCAAAAUCCAUCAACUUUGCUACCCGACCCUUCAUCCUUAACCUAAAAUUCUCGAAAAACAGCUUCCCAAUAUCGACCCGACUUUGACCCACGUGGACGGUGUGUGUUUGCUAUGAAAAAUUAAGAAAGUUUCUAUAAAUGGGUGAGCUGUCUCACCCUAACGUUCCAAUCCCGCAAAUAUCGGAUGAGGUUGUACAAUUUCGUACAUAGGUGGGAAGUUUUCAUUUUCUUGUGAAGAUGAUUCCAUUUUCCUAAAUUUCUAUUGGCCAUUUUUGGAAAUCCAUUCAAGAAAAUCAUCAAGGAGUUGGUUGACUAAUCGGAGAUUCUCAAGUUGAUAACGUGGAUUUUCGGUGGUGGCGGAUUCUGGCAGUUAGCGCAUAGUCCCAUUUGCUGCUCUGAAACAGGUAACACCCCAUUUCACUUAUCUUUUGACUAUGUCUACUUCAUCUCAACCUUAUGUAGUUGCGAGAAUUAGUGAUAAUGCAUGCUGGGUUCUAUACUGUACAGGCUACAAAGGCAGUAGGAUGUUGUGUUAAAAUAAUUGAUGUGGGGUUCGUUAUGGUUAUGUGAUUAUGUUACUGUUUUUUUUAUUCACUGAUGGAUUGAUAUUGUCGAAUUUGUUUUGUUGUAAUACACCGCGUAAUAAUCUGUCAAGUUAUAGCCAUUUUUAAGUUCUCAUCUUUUUAUUUGAAUAACUAUCGAUUAGUUGCAUAUGUUCUUCUCCUUUCGGUAAUCUGUGAUAAUCGACUCUUCUAGAAUCGAUUCUUCUAGGUAAUCGGACCAUAAGAUUUGUUUAGGCACUCGAUUUUUCUCUGUUCAGCUAAGUAUAUUCAAUAUUCGUGCUUGCUUGAUGCAAAUAUUUCUAUCCACUUUGUACACUGCAUUUUCAAAUUUUGGGGUUGGAUUCGUUGCUCUAUGAUAUGAGAUCUUAUAUACCCAAGAUGGAAUUUUAUCUUUGUUUAAGAUUAAGAAAUGUUCAUUCUUCCCUGUUCUCGUUAUUGUUUCUACUUGUCACAAGCUUUCCAUACAAUUACCGAAAAUUACAUGUCUUUGGGCUACUUGAGUAGAGGAUAUUUUUGAGCCGUAGUAUUGGUUUUGAUAGGAUCGAUUGUUGUGUCUGUUAAGGAUUAUUUGAUCUUGUCAUAAUCUUCGUUGGGCUCUUUUGUUUUACACUUAAAAUAAAAUCAUGUUGGUGUUCUAUUCUCUAAAAUGAUGUCAUGCUUUGAACCUGUUUUCUUUUAUUCCUUUUGGUAUUAGUUAAACAAUUAGAAGUAAAGAGAGGUCAUAUUAGAAUACAAACUUUAGUUACUGAAGAUCCCUUUUAGAGGGGCAUCUUGUUUUGAAGCAUCCAAAGUCUCUGAAUGUUUGUAAGUGUUGUUUUAUUCAUAUCUGCUGGUGAAGGAAAAGGCAUUCGAAAUGCAUAUGCAUCAGUUCUAAUAUGAAAGUUCCCUUUGGAACUUAGGGCGUAAUUAGGAUAUGUAUAAGAUAUACCUCCGAAUACGGGGAUCAAGGUCUUUGCAAAUCUCAGUCGCAAGUGCUUUUAGUGACAACAUGUAAUAGCUGGUUGAUUUUUAUUUUUAUUUUUACUUUUAUUUUUAUUUUUAUUUUUAUUUUAUUAGUGUUCUGUUGCAUUCUGUGAAUCAAAGACUUGAAUAAAGAUUCCAUUACUUGAAAUCUUUCUCCUCAAGCAACUGGAAAGAGAAUAAAAUAUAUUCACAUAGAUAGUUGUUUAGGAUAAUUAUCUUUUACAUUGAAUGUUGUUGCAAUGCCGGACUAUGUCAAAUGGAUAUUGAUGACAGUCGAAUACUAAAUUUCUGUGAUGUUUGUUCAUGUAUAUAUCUAUAUAUAAUAUGCUUCUAUUGUGCGUGCCCUAUCUUGUCAGUACUCUACACAAUCCCACUGCGUAUUCAACUCUUUUUGCUAAGUAAACAAGACUUGUAUUAAUGAAUUGCUCCCAAAUGGUGUAUACCAAGGUACAUUCAUCAUACUAUUUAUUAGAAAGUAAGUAAUAAGGUACAGUGUUAAGCCGAUUUUCUUGUAUGUUACAUAAUGGGAAGUUACUUUUGUUAAACUAAUUUUGCAUGUUUUUUUUAUACAUGAUAAUUUAGUAUUUGUUCAAAUAUUAACUUUCGGAUAUAUGUUAAUUACUUCACUUCUCUUUUUGCAUGUGGAUGCAUUUGAGUCCCACAUGGACUCUUCUCUCUUUGCACGUGCAUUAUCGGCCAUUGAGGCCCGUCUAGCCCUAAAUCAAUUUUUUUCAAAGUUCUAAGUUAAGAAGUGAUCCCGUAGUGCAUGGAUACAAGGAGUCGAAAGAAGGAAAAUGGGAUAAAGUCUCAUUCUUGAAGCGACGAUGAAACCCGAGCCUCAUUUCUGGUUAUUUAUUUGUUGUCUUUAUUUAUCUAUUGUUGUCGUAUUUAUUUAUUUAGUCCUUUAUUCAUUCACUUGGGCCUCGAAGCCAAAGUUGUAAAUUUAAUACAAGUGGAGCGAUACUCGAGCCGAAGGCUCGAAAACUAGAUUAGAACAGGUGAAAUGGGUCGAAAGCCCAAUUAGACU